GAUGAACGCUGGCGGCGUGCUUAACACAUGCAAGUCGAACGGGAUCCAUCAGGCUUUGCUUGGUGGUGAGAGUGGCGAACGGGUGAGUAAUGCGUGACCGACCUGCCCCAUACACCGGAAUAGCUCCUGGAAACGGGUGGUAAUGCCGGAUGCUCCGACUCCUCGCAUGGGGUGUCGGGAAAGAUUUCAUCGGUAUGGGAUGGGGUCGCGUCCUAUCAGGUAGUCGGCGGGGUAACGGCCCACCGAGCCUACGACGGGUAGCCGGCCUGAGAGGGCGACCGGCCACAUUGGGACUGAGAUACGGCCCAGACUCCUACGGGAGGCAGCAGUGGGGAAUAUUGCACAAUGGGCGCAAGCCUGAUGCAGCGACGCCGCGUGCGGGAUGACGGCCUUCGGGUUGUAAACCGCUUUUGAUCGGGAGCAAGCCUUCGGGUGAGUGUACCUUUCGAAUAAGC
rnacentral:rRNA from 1 species